CAAAUAAUUACUACCAGAAUUGCCAUGUCAGAAACCGCUCUGCCUGCAACAUGCACCCUCAUCACUUGAUGUCCUGGGAUGCUACAGGAGAGAGUGGAUGUGGCUCUUGUUCUCUCUCUGAUGUAGUAUUAUUUUUCCAUUUUUUUUAAAUUGCAGUCUACCCCAAAAGCACAGUCAGAUGGCUGCUCACGGGUGUUAGUCCGUAACAUCAGUAAGGUUACAUUAGGAACAUCAGGUCAAUCUGCUGCUGUCCAGAAUCCGGUGGUUUGUCUUCGUCUGGCAUCUCAGCUGAGACCUGUCCACUAUGGGUGACCCUUCCAGUAGUUGUGAAGUACCAGUGGUGUAGCUCUCAGCAUCACUGAU